UACUCCGGUUCUCGUUAGAUCACCGAAGUCACGCAUCAUUGGCCGCGGUCAGUACUUGGGGGGGAGGGGGGACCACCUGGGAACACCGCGUGCCGUU
rnacentral:rRNA from 1 species